AGCGGCGGACGGCUGAGUAAUGUCUGGGAAACUGCCUGAUGGAGGGGGAUAACUACUGGAAACGGUAGCUAAUACCGCAUAACGUCGCAAGACCAAAGUGGGGGACCUUCGGGCCUCAUGCCAUCAGAUGUGCCCAGAUGGGAUUAGCUAGUAGGUGGGGUAACGGCUCACCUAGGCGACGAUCCCUAGCUGGUCUGAGAGGAUGACCAGCCACACUGGAACUGAGACACGGUCCAGACUCCUACGGGAGGCAGCAGUGGGGAAUAUUGCACAAUGGGCGCAAGCCUGAUGCAGCCAUGCCGCGUGUAUGAAGAAGGCCUUCGGGUUGUAAAGUACUUUCAGCGGGGAGGAAGGCGAUAAGGUUAAUAACCUUGUCGAUUGACGUUACCCGCAGAAGAAGCACCGGCUAACUCCGUGCCAGCAGCCGCGGUAAUACGGAGGGUGCAAGCGUUAAUCGGAAUUACUGGGCGUAAAGCGCACGCAGGCGGUCUGUCAAGUCGGAUGUGAAAUCCCCGGGCUCAACCUGGGAACUGCAUUCGAAACUGGCAGGCUAGAGUCUUGUA
rnacentral:rRNA from 1 species